rnacentral:rRNA from 2 species
UGCACCUGAUUGAUUUUGGUCGCCAACGAGUGGCGGACGGGUGAGUAACACGUAGGUAACCUGCCCAGAAGCGGGGGACAACAUUUGGAAACAGAUGCUAAUACCGCAUAACAGCGUUGUUCGCAUGAACAACGCUUAAAAGAUGGCUUCUCGCUAUCACUUCUGGAUGGACCUGCGGUGCAUUAGCUUGUUGGUGGGGUAAUGGCCUACCAAGGCGAUGAUGCAUAGCCGAGUUGAGAGACUGAUCGGCCACAAUGGGACUGAGACACGGCCCAUACUCCUACGGGAGGCAGCAGUAGGGAAUCUUCCACAAUGGGCGCAAGCCUGAUGGAGCAACACCGCGUGAGUGAAGAAGGGUUUCGGCUCGUAAAGCUCUGUUGUUAAAGAAGAACACGUAUGAGAGUAACUGUUCAUACGUUGACGGUAUUUAACCAGAAAGUCACGGCUAACUACGUGCCAGCAGCCGCGGUAAUACGUAGGUGGCAAGCGUUAUCCGGAUUUAUUGGGCGUAAAGAGAGUGCAGGCGGUUUUCUAAGUCUGA